rnacentral:rRNA from 1 species
UACGAAGGGGCUAGCGUUGCUCGGAAUCACUGGGCGUAAAGGGUGCGUAGGCGGGUCUUUAAGUCAGGGGUGAAAUCCUGGAGCUCAACUCCAGAACUGCCUUUGAUACUGAGGAUCUUGAGUACGGGAGAGGUGAGUGGAACUGCGAGUGUAGAGGUGAAAUUCGUAGAUAUUCGCAAGAACACCAGUGGCGAAGGCGGCUCACUGGCCCGUAACUGACGCUGAGGCACGAAAGCGUGGGGAGCAAACAGGG